UAUUAUGGCGAAAUGAAAGAAGGACGCCUCGUGUGUGCUGGGUACUCAAAGCCAGUCUGUUAACCUUCUUUCGUUUCGCCGCCA
rnacentral:antisense_RNA from 19 species